AGUGUAAAUGCCCUCAACCGCCUGCCCCACCAGGCCUUCAGGAGCGGGUAUCAGGCACACCCAAGAAGUAGCCCAAGACGCCUAGCCAAGCCACACCCCCACGGGUAUUCAGCAGUAGUUAACAUUAAGCAAUGAGUGCAAACUUGACUUAGUUAUAGCAAAUCUACCCCCAAGGGUCGGUAAAUCUUGUGCCAGCCACCGCGGUCACACAAGAGACCCAAAUCAACCGUUCCAACCAACACGGCGUAAAGAGUGGUAAAAUGCCUAUCCUAGCUAACUAAGACCGAAGUGCAUCUGAGUUGUCACAAGCACAAGAUGCACCUAAGCACACCAUUAAGAUGGUCUUAGAAACUAAGGACUGAUUUAACUCCACGAAAGCCAGGGCCCAAACUGGGAUUAGAUACCCCACUAUGCCUGGCCCUAAAUCUCGAUACUUCCUAUACCAAAGUAUCCGCCAGAGAACUACGAGCACAAACGCUUAAAACUCUAAGGACUUGGCGGUGCCCCAAACCCACCUAGAGGAGCCUGUUCUAUAAUCGAUAAUCCACGAUCCACCCAACCACCCCUUGCCAACACAGCCUACAUACCGCCGUCGCCAGCUCACCUCACAUGAGAGCACAACAGUGAGCGCAACAGCACCCCGCUAGUAAGACAGGUCAAGGUAUAGCCUAUGGGGUGGAAGAAAUGGGCUACAUUCCCUAUGCAUAGGGCAACACGGAAAGAAGCAUGAAACUGCUUCUAGAAGGCGGAUUUAGCAGUAAAGCGGGAUAAUAGAGCCUGCUUUAAGACGGCCCUGGGGCACGUACAUACCGCCCGUCACCCUCCUCACAAGCCGCUUCCCACAUAACUAAUACCACUUAUGCGCUAAAGAUGAGGUAAGUCGUAACAAGGUAAGUGUACCGGAAGGUGUACUUAGAA
rnacentral:ncRNA from 1 species